GAUGAACGCUGGCGGCGUGCCUAAUACAUGCAAGUCGAGCGAACAGACGAGGAGCUUGCUCCUCCGACGUUAGCGGCGGACGGGUGAGUAACACGUGGAUAACCUACCUAUAAGACUGGGAUAACUUCGGGUAACCGGAGCUAAUACCGGAUAAUAUAUUGAACCGCAUGGUUCAAUAGUGAAAGACGGUUUUGCUGUCACUUAUAGAUGGAUCCGCGCCGCAUUAGCUAGUUGGUAAGGUAACGGCUUACCAAGGCGACGAUGCGUAGCCGACCUGAGAGGGUGAUCGGCCACACUGGAACUGAGACACGGUCCAGACUCCUACGGGAGGCAGCAGUAGGGAAUCUUCCGCAAUGGGCGAAAGCCUGACGGAGCAACGCCGCGUGAGUGAUGAAGGUCUUCGGAUCGUAAAACUCUGUUAUUAGGGAAGAACAAAUGUGUAAGUAACUAUGCACGUCUUGACGGUACCUAAUCAGAAAGCCACGGCUAACUACGUG
rnacentral:rRNA from 1 species